rnacentral:lncRNA from 1 species
CAGCGCCCCUCCUUCCUCCGCCCCACAGCGCCCCGGCUCCGCCGCCUUCCCAGCGGCACAGCUUUGAAGGAGAAACCCGGGCUGGGGGAAGCAGAGGAAGAGGGGCCACUCACUUGAUGAAGAAGACCCUCCCGCCGCCGUCCACCCCGUAGGUCCACCGGCCCGGCAGGUCCAGCCAGUCGAUCUCCUCGGCCAUCUCCGCGCCCCCGGGCGCCGGGCUGGCAGCGGCUCCGAGGCUCGCGCGCCCUCCGGGCCCGGCGGUGACCGUGGCCUCCGCGGAAGCGAGUUGGCCCAGUCGGCGGCCCGGCGAGCGCCGCGCAGACACCGCCGCCCUCCGGAGCGCUCCGGGCCGCUCCCGAACUUUAAUGACCGGCAAUUAGCGCGGGGCGUAAUUACGCGGGGCGCUCGGCCGCCGCGUCCGUCGGAGCCGGGCGCCCCAGGAGCGCAAGUCGCCGCCGCCUCUCGGAUCCCACACUGGCGGGCGGCGGGGCGGGGCAGGGCCGCGCCCGGGAAGGUAACCGGGGCCGGGAGCCCGCGAGAGCCUGAGUCACGGCCGAGGGGCACGGCCGGCCUCCCGGGGACAGGGCAGCGGCGCCCGAGCGGUACAAAGGUCAGGCGCUCGCUCCGGAGGGGGAGGCAGGGGAGGCCUGACUGCCAGCAGCUUCCCGCUGAGACGCCCAGCUCGCUAGUUAGGCCGGUCCUCGCCUCUCCUUCCGAGCACCUCCUCCAGGAAGCCCGCCGUGACUCCCUAGAGUCAGGGAAGCCCUAGGGACAAUUCAGAAACCAGCGCUGCGUCUCUCCAUCCUGUCCCCUAACACACCAGCAGUGGAGAGAAAUGAACUGUGCCGAUGCCUUCAGGCUGAUUCCUGGCUGCCAGGAGUAAGCUGACUCCAUUCCCCACAUGCAGAAGAGAAAGCUGAAGCCCAGAAUACCCCCGCUGCAUCCUCCCUGCUCAGCUCCCACAAACUCCACAUAGAAAGCGGCAUUGGAUGGUACUGUUCGACAAGUGACGACGGGCUCUGUCAUAUGAUGCUCUUAAUUCUUUUGGGAAGAAACAGUGGACCCUCAAGCUAUAAUCAGCCUGACAUGUGAACAGCUUGGAUUCAUUAGGUUAAUGGAAGAUUCAUCUGCCUCUUGUUAUCUAUAGCAUAAAUGCAG